CAGUACUGUGGUUGUUGGGGUUUUUUUGUAUCUAAAACCAUGUAUACAAAAAAGUCAGAACACAUACCACACUG
rnacentral:pre_miRNA from 1 species